AAAAUAGAUUUUAGAAAGCAGUGAGAUUAAGUGGCAGCUCCGGAAGCCCUGUCUCAGCAGGGUGGGGCCCUGGGCGUUCGGCUGUUUCCAGCCAUCCUGUCAGAGCUAGUCUUUAUUCGUGUGUAUCAAACAAUACGAGCUCCUGGGGCCCCUCCUAACUGGGCCUGCGAUGAACCUGCCUGGGCCCUGAGCUCCCUCGAACCAGGAUCGGCACCCAAGCCCAGCGCUGGGGCCUCCUCUUCCCCCACGACUCUCUGCCCUAGAGUCCUGGUCUGCUCCAAAUGCUGCCUGGCUGCAGAGAAGGAUGCAUGGGAAAUUGAGAAGAGGGAAGUGACGGGGAAGGAGUGGAAAAACGUUUGGGGAGCCGGCUCCAGGGCUCAGAAACCCACCCACGCAGCACGCUGGCAUUUCUCCUGUUCUCCAACUUCAUUUUCAUUUUUUACAAAAAGUAGUGGUUGUGGUCACAAAGAAACCUGCAGGAAUGUGACUCAAGCGGAAGCAAUGUCUGCCUGAGUCUGCCGAGAGCCUGGAACAAGAGCUUGGAGAGAUGUGACCUGCCCCAUUCCGCUCAGGGAGAGGGGAACUCCGAUGCCACAGUGCUACAAGUCAACAACCGCUCACUAUUUCAUCCCUCCUGUGCGGGAGGCUGGCAGAUCGGUCCUGUUCACUGCAAACCACCUCUCAUUUUGGUGCCAGAAGUGGGUGUCAUUUGGGAGAUGACACCGCUGAUUUCUUUUCUUCAGGCAGGAAAGAGCUGAGCCCACGGACAAGUUCAAGCGCCAGCCCCGUGGAGUAGGAUCAUAUGCGAAUAUCUGCGCAAUCUACCAGGAUCAGCACCUCAUUUUGGCAACUUGCGUGGGCAGAGCUUAGACGAGUUCGCUCUCCCCUCCCAUCUCUCCAUGGCACAGUGGGAGCAUCUGGGCGCUCUACAGGCCCAGAAUGGCUUCGCCAUCAUGAUCCAGAGCAGAGGAGCCUGGCGUUCACGUCCCACCAGAGAUGCAGGCUUCCGGGGGGGGUGGGGCGCGGCGCACAGGAUUUCAAGUUCUGGGAGAUUGCUGGAUUAAAAUCCACUGAGGGUUUUAACCUGUGAUCCAGCAGGAGCUGUGAAAUUCACUCCCAUGAAGAGGGAUUUCACCCAGGGCGACUGGCUACAAUUUCAGUCCCCUGGAGUAACUUGGCUCUUGGUGGAGAAGGAGAUGCUCAUCGGGUGGAUGGGGAGGGGACCAGCGUAGUUUUGAGCUGAGUGCGCACAUGGAAAGUAGCAGAGUGCAAGGGGGGUUGGCCUGGAUCCGACAUCCCCUUUCAGCUCCCAGAUGAAACUGGGCUCCUGCUGGUUGCAUGCAAAGCACUUGCAAAUAAAAACCAGCUAUUUUCUGCUUCUGCUAUUUCUUUGGAAGGUGCUAGUCACAAGCGGGGGUGAGAAAGGGAGAGAAUCCUGCUGUAUAAGUAGGGGAAGCUUCCCAGAGGGAGAGAGACAGAGAGAAGAGUGUGAGACAUGCACAGACAGACACAGAGAGGGAGAGCGCCUUUCUAGUUAGUCCUGCCAGAGGUGUAAAGAAAUUGCCUUCCCCCAACCACGCCCCAGAGCCAACCUUCUCUAUUUACACCCAUCAUCUUGAUCUCUAGUCCCUGAGCAAAAUUCAAAACCAAUGCAAGGAAAUCCUUUUCUCGCCCGACGCACUCUUGGAGUGUGGAACUCCCUACAACAGGAUGGCCCCGAAGCCAAGAACUCAGCCAGGUUCAAAAAGGGACUGGAGAUAGAAAUGGAGGGUAAGGUUAAUGCAAGCAGGCCUUUUGGAAGAGAAAUUAAACCUCCUGCUUCAGGAUUAGAGCAAGUCUGUAAAUAUCAGGGAUUGUUCUGUGUCUGUACCGCACCUGGCACAAUGGGGUCCUCCUCUGGGACGGGGUGCUCCUCGGCACUACCGUAAUACACCUACUAGAGUGUAUACACCUCUCCUCAGGUGCCUGCAGUGGGGGCGGGCAGCACACUGCUGAGAUUGCUGGUAUUUCUGGAUCUCCAUACGCUGUUCUUGCUUUCCCAGGCCCGCGUGUGCCUUCAUACAGCAGCCAAGUCAGGCCGGGUCAUAGCCUGACUGCUCCCUCCGGGCUCCAGCGUGUCUAUAUCGGGGCCGCCCCUUGUACGGUACUAACAGAGCCCUAGUAAAAAUAACCCCCGGCCGGCCUCGUGCCAUGUGGUGUCGAGAAUGCACGAAGCUGGUGUCCAGCCCUCCUCCCCUCAAGGCUGCCAGCCCCUUGGCCUUCCCUUGCAUGUGGUUGGCCUCACGCAGCUGCACGGGGGGGGGUUGUCCCUCUCCCCCCCCCAUUUGUGGAGACAGGCUCAGUCUGCUGCUCCCCCGUCCCAUCAUGCAUCUGAGAUCUGACCCAUGGCAGGGGAUCCAGUCCUGCCAGUGCCCACAGCCCUGCUCUGUGAACGGGCUUUGCCUUGCAUUACCUGGGCCCAAAAGCAUAGGGCUGGGCGCUCAAGCAUGCAGCUCCCCCAAAAGGUGCAGUCUGGGGCCAGGCCAGCUGGGAAGCCAGCGGGGGAACAAUACCGCCGGGAAAUACACGAUGGGGCGGGAAUGCAAAGUCAGCUCCACUGUGAAACCCGCCCUCCCGCCUCAAGCAGCAAAGAGCUAACUGGAGGAGAACGGCAAGGCUAACGCGCACAGCGUGGUACUCUGACACCACAAGCAACGCCUCGCCUGGGGUCUAAGAACUGCCACGUGGCAUGGUUAUGUGGUUAGAGCUGUGGGAGGGGAGUGGGGUCUAGUGCAUUAACGCAAGGGCUUUGGGACCUAGGACUCCAGGGUUUUACUCCUUGCUCGGGGAGGGGAACCUGCUUAAGUGAAGACAGUGGGGGGGGGAGGGGGGGGCUGUGACUCAGGACUCCUGGGUUCUCUUUUUGCUUCUGCAGAGGAGUGUGCCUUUGCAGAGACAGCUGAAAAAAGACCGCCACGGCUGCCAGGAAGAGAAGCUCUAGAGGGCAAUCCCUGGAUAUACUGGGGGAUACCCUUCCCCCAAAACAGAGCUCCUACCGAAAAUGAACAAACAAGUAAAUUAAAAAGAUGAGAAAACAUGACCAAGUCUGGAGCAAACAAUCAUUCUUUCUGGAGGGAAGGCAGGGAUGAUCUGGAUUUGACGGCAGGCGUUUGAGCCAAUGAGCAACACCCCAUUCUGGACACCCCUGGCCUCGGGGGGAAUCAAGGGCUAAUGGACAGCUUCAAGAAGAGGCGCGACCAAAGCUGCGGGCACUGAGGGCUUGUCAGAGGGGGACGCUUUUGGAGGCUCAGGCAGAUCACCUGAAGCUGCGCAGUCAACGACGAACAUGCCUUGGACGCCGGCGGUCAGGAGUAAGGCAAAGUUUGUUAUAACUUUCAUUCACCUGCAAGGGUUUUUUUUUUUUUUUUUUUUUUAGAGGCAGUUACAUCUCUGUCCACCAGGUGGAGCAAUUUUUGGUUUUGGCCUUUGGGGGACGAGAGUGACAGAAGGUGAUGACUGAGCAACUGCAGUGUUAUGAAUUGUAGCCAUGACAAAGCCAGGGGAGUAUUGUUCUCCUGACGCCAGGCCUCGCAGUGUAGGUGUGGACGAUCUGUUUUGGAGGAAAUCACUUCUACAAAUAUUGACUCACGGCUGCCGAUCUGGGUCACCCUGGUAUGAAUCUGCGGUGACUUCACCACGUUUAUACCAAGAUCAGAAUCUGGCCCCGCAUGUGAAAGCAUGUUCCUGUUUGAAGGGCAAGGGCUAGAAUCUGACCUGUAAAUGUGGAGUAACUCCAGGGAAGUCAGUGGAGUUACACUGCUGGAAAUCUGAUCAGAAUUACUCUUUCUAUUCCCACUAGCCAGAUAAAGCUGAGACCCAGGUGGAUGGGAGACAGAGGCUGAGAUUUCCACAGGGAUCUGCAAACCCAAAUGAAUGAGAGCGGAGGAACGUCACAAUGGCCAGGAUACUAGUCUAGGGCCUUCCCCGCUCUGCUACAGAUCUCCUGGGGGACCUUACGUCCAGGUCCUCAAAGGGAGUUAGUGCCUAAUUCCCCUUGAUUCACUCCGUCCCUGAUCUUCAAACAAUCAAAGCAAAACUCAAUGGAAUCUGUUGGGUUUUAACCUCAUUUAUCUAAGGAAACCCCCAUCGGGGACCUAAAACCAGAGGCAUCAAGAUCUUCAGGAUUCCCUGUCACUGGGAGUUUGCAAACUUCAGUCUGAAUUUUAGAUUUGCAACCAAACAUCUUACCUAGAUCUUGAAAAUUUGAACCUCAUGGUUCCUCAGCUUUUCAAGGUCUUUCUUGCAAGUAGACCUGAUUGAAGUUUUUCAAAGAAGCAUUUUUCCCCCUAUCGAAAAAUGCAGCUUUUUGUCUCAGUUGAAAAGGUUCAAUUCCAAUUUUUUUAUUAAAAAAAAUCAAAACAAAAUGAAACUGGAAUUUUUAUCUCAGUCUCAAAUUGAUAUUUUCAUUUCAUUUGGAUUUCCAAAAACCAGGAAAAAAAUCCUUUUUCUGGCCCCCACCUCUACUGUCUCUCCCUUUUUCAAUCCAAAAAAAGGGGGGAAAUGUUUCUUUUUUAAAGGCAUCAAAAUAUCCCCAGAUCUCCAUACUGACAUUUGUCCGAUUUCAAAAAGCAAAAUUUCCAUUCAAAACAAUCUGGCACAAAGGUUUCAUUUUGAACGUUUCUCUUGAAAAAAAACAAUCAAUGGAUUUUUCAGUCAAAAAUUUUGAUCAAAAUAGUUUCUCUUAAAUCUAUUCAAAGAAAUAACAUUGGAUUUUUCCAUUAGUUCUAUUCACAACCUUAACAACCUUGAAACCAUUAUCAAUUUCCUUCUGAGAGACAUUCUGACUCUCUCUUAUCUGAGGUUCCUGAACAGUAGAUCCAGGACUCCUGGGCUCUGUUCCUAGUUUAAGUUUAAAGCCGGAAAUGACCUUUAGAUCGUCUAGGCUGACCUCCUGUAGAACUAAGCUUGGAAGGAUUAGAUUUUUAUUGGUAAAUAGCAAUUUCACCAUGCACACACAAACCAAUAGGAAACUAUUUCCAUGGAUAAUAAUUGAAACUUAAAGACAGGCAGAGAAAGAGAAACGCUGCUUGAGAACUAGAGGUUGACUGAAGGAUAUUGACUUGAUAUAUUUUGACGUGAUGUUGACCAUUUGUGUUUUAACAGUUAUAAAGCUUUCACUUUUUGAA